rnacentral:rRNA from 1 species
GACGAACGCUGGCGGCAUGCCUAAUACAUGCAAGUCGAACGAUGAUAUCACUGCUUGCUGUGAUUGAUUAGUGGCGAACGGGUGAGUAACACGUGAGGAACUUGCCCAUGAGCGGGGGACAACAUUCGGAAACGGAUGCUAAUACCCCAUAGGUGGAUUGGUCGCAUGACGAAUUCAUUAAAGGUGGCUCUGCUACCACUCAUGGAUAGCCUCGCGGCGUAUUAGCUGGUUGGUAAGGUAAUGGCUUACCAAGGCAGUGAUACGUAGCCGACUGGGGAGGGUGAUCGGCCACCCUGAGACUGAGACACGGCCCAGCCUCCUACGGGAGGCAGCAGUAGGAAAUCUUCCACAAUGGGUGCAAACCUGAUGGAGCAAUGCGGCGUGGGUGAAGAAGGUCUUCGGAUCGUAAAGCUCUGUUGUGAGAGAAGAACACGUGCGAGGUAACUACUGGCGCCUUGACGGUAUCUAACCAGAAAGUCACGGCUAACUACGUG